rnacentral:rRNA from 1 species
UCUUUUAAUUGAAGACUGGAAUGAAAGGUUAAAACUUUAAAAGAAUGUUUUUAUUUAUGAAAUUUUGAAUUUAGAUUAAAAAUAAAAAUAUUUUUAUUAUUUUUUAGGACGAGAAGACCCUAAAAGCUUAAAAAUUAAUUUUUUAAUUGGGGCAAUUACUGAAGAAAUUAGAAUUUUUAGUAUAAUUAGUUUUAAAAAUAUAAAGUUACUUUAGGGAUAACAGCAUAAUUUAAUUAGCAAGUUCUUAUUAAUAGUUAAGAUUAUGACCUCGAUGUUGAAUUAAAAUUUAUUUUAAAUGAAGAAGUUUAAACUAUUAGUCUGUUCGACUAUUAAAUUUUUACGUGAUCUGAGUUC